rnacentral:lncRNA from 1 species
ACGGUUAGACACAUAGUCUGCAGCAGAAUGCCAUUCAUGGGCUGGUUACACAUGCACACUGACACACACUUGUGUGUGCAGUGCAUGUGCACACGCACAGACAAGCAUCAUGACAGCAUUGGUCUUGAAGAGGAAAGACAGCAGGAAGAGAGCUGCAGUUCACACGAGCUCACCUUAGCAAGCUCAUCCAUCUGACUGACAAAGCUAUGAUGAAAGCUGAGGCCAAUCCGAACUUUCUUUACUAUUCUCUCAGGAAGCUGCACUGCUAGGCAUGAUCUAUUUAGGCUGGGUUCAUGUAAAUUUCCCCCAUUCUGCGGUAAUUCCUCCUCACCAAGCAUCCAGUGUUACUGUCACACACCAACAUGACUGAGUCAGGUCCGACUCAUCAUGUUGACUUCCUGUGAAAUGAAACAGCCUUCCCAGGACAUUAAAUGAGUGAUUUACAAAGCCCAAUGCUG